UUAAACGGAUUUCUUCGGAUUGAAGUUUUUGCGACUGAGUGGCGGACGGGUGAGUAACGCGUGGGUAACCUGCCUCAUACAGGGGGACAACAGUUGGAAACGACUGCUAAUACCGCAUAAGCGCACAGCUUCGCAUGAAGCAGUGUGAAAAACUCCGGUGGUACAAGAUGGACCCGCGUCUGAUUAGCUGGUUGGUAAGGUAACGGCUUACCAAGGCGACGAUCAGUAGCCGACCUGAGAGGGUGACCGGCCACAUUGGGACUGAGACACGGCCCAAACUCC
rnacentral:rRNA from 1 species